UACGGGGGGGGCAAGCGUUGUUCGGAAUUACUGGGCGUAAAGGGCUCGUAGGUGGCCAACUAAGUCAGACGUGAAAUCCCUCGGCUUAACCGGGGAACUGCGUCUGAUACUGGAUGGCUAGAGAUUGGGAGAGGGAUGCGGAAUUCCAGGUGUAGCGGUGAAAUGCGUAGAUAUCUGGAGGAACACCAGUAGCGAAGGCGGCUCGCUGGGCCGUUCCUGACGCUGAGACGCGAAAGCUAGGGGAGCGAACAGG
rnacentral:rRNA from 1 species